CCUACGGGAGGCAGCAGUGGGGAAUCUUGCACAAUGGAGGAAACUCUGAUGCAGCGAUGCCGCGUGAGUGAAGAAGGCCUUUGGGUUGUAAAGCUCUUUUGUAGGGGAAGAUAAUGACUGUACCCUAAGAAUAAGGUCCGGCUAACUUCGUGCCAGCAGCCGCGGUAAUACGAAGGGACCUAGCGUAGUUCGGAAUUACUGGGCGUAAAGCGCGCGUAGGCCGUUGAGUUAGUUAAUUGUGAAAUCCCAAAGCUUAACUUUGGAACUGCAAUUAAAACUGCUCGACUAGAGUUUGAUAGAGGAAAGCGGAAUACAUAGUGUAGAGGUGAAAUUCGUAGAUAUUAUGUAGAACACCAGUUGCGAAGGCGGCUUUCUGGAUCAACACUGACGCUGAGGCGCGAAAGUAUGGGUAGCAAAGAGGAUUAGAUACCCUCGUAGUCCAUACCAUAAACGAUGAUUGCUAGAUGUUGGAAAUUUAUUUUCAGUAUCGCAGCUAACGCAUUAAGCAAUCCGCCUGGGGAGUACGACCGCAAGGUUAAAACUCAAAGGAAUUGACGGCUGNGAGNGCGAGCGACACGAGGAGAG
rnacentral:rRNA from 1 species